rnacentral:rRNA from 1 species
AACGAACGCUGGCGGCAGGCCUAACACAUGCCAGUCGAGCGGACCUUUCGGGGUCAGCGGCGGACGGGUGAGUAACGCGUGGGAAUAUGCCCUUCUCUUCGGAAUAGUCCUGGGAAACUGGGGGUAAUACCGUAUACGCCCUUUGGGGGAAAGAUUUAUCGGGGAAGGAUUAGCCCGCGUUGGAUUAGGUAGUUGGUGGGGUAAUGGCCUGCCAAGCCGACGAUCCAUAGCUGGUUUGAGAGGAUGAUCAGCCACACUGGGACUGAGACACGGCCCAGACUCCUACGGGAGGCAGCAGUGGGGAAUCUUAGACAAUGGGGGCAACCCUGAUCUAGCCAUGCCGCGUGAGUGAUGAAGGCCUUAGGGUUGUAAAGCUCUUUCAGCUGGGAAGAUAAUGACGGUACCAGCAGAAGAAGCCCCGGCUAACUCCGUG